ACGGGGCCCGCACAAGCAGUGGAGUAUGUGGUUUAAUUCGAAGCAACGCGAAGAACCUUUACCAGGGCUUGACAUCCCUUGAAGCAGCUAGAGAUAGCUGUGUCCUUCGGGACAAGGAGACAGGUGGUGCAUGGUUGUCGUCAGCUCGUGUCGUGAGAUGUUGGGUUAAGUCCCGCAACGAGCGCAACCCCUGUGGUUAGUUGCCAGCAAGUAGCGUUGGGCACUCUAGCCAGACUGCCGGUGAUAAAUCGGAGGAAGGUGGGGACGACGUCAAAUCAUCAUGCCCUUUAUGUCCUGGGCUACACACGUACUACAAUGGUUGGUACAACGAGUUGCGAGUCGGUGACGGCGAGCUAAUCUCUUAAAGCCAAUCUCAGUUCGGAUUGUAGGCUGCAACUCGCCUACAUGAAGUCGGAAUCGCUAGUAAUCGCGGAUCAGCACGCCGCGGUGAAUACGUUCCCGGGCCUU
rnacentral:rRNA from 1 species